rnacentral:rRNA from 1 species
AUUGAACGCUGGCGGCAUGCCUUACACAUGCAAGUCGAACGGCAGCACGGGAGCAAUCCUGGUGGCGAGUGGCGAACGGGUGAGUAAAGUAUCGGAACGUACCUUUCAGUGGGGGAUAACGUAGCGAAAGUUACGCUAAUACCGCAUAUUCUGUGAGCAGGAAAGCAGGGGAUCGCAAGACCUUGCGCUGAUGGAGCGGCCGAUAUCAGAUUAGCUAGUUGGUGAGGUAAAGGCUCACCAAGGCGACGAUCUGUAGCGGGUCUGAGAGGAUGAUCCGCCACACUGGGACUGAGACACGGCCCAGACUCCUACGGGAGGCAGCAGUGGGGAAUUUUGGACAAUGGGCGCAAGCCUGAUCCAGCCAUGCCGCGUGCGGGAAGAAGGCCUC